CCUACGGGAGACAGCAGUGAGGAAUAUUGGUCAAUGGGCGCGAGCCUGAACCAGCCAAGUAGCGUGAAGGAUGAAGGUUCUAUGGAUCGUAAACCUCUUUUAUAAGGGAAUAAAGUGUGGGACGUGUCCUGUUUUGUAUGUACCUUAUGAAUAAGGAUCGGCUAACUCCGUGCCAGCAGCCGCGGUAAUACGGAGGAUCCGAGCGUUAUCCGGAUUUAUUGGGUUUAAAGGGUGCGUAGGCGGCCUUUUAAGUCAGCGGUGAAAGUCGGUGGCUCAACCAUAGAAUUGCCGUUGAAACUGGGAGGCUUGAGUAUGUUUGAGGCAGGCGGAAUGCGUGGUGUAGCGGUGAAAUGCUGAGAUAUCACGCAGAACCCCGAUUGCGAAGGCAGCCUGCCAAGCCAUGACUGACGCUGAUGCACGAAAGCGUGGGGAUCAAACAGGAUUAGAUACCCCAGUAGUC
rnacentral:rRNA from 1 species